CGUGCAGGAAGAAGGCCUUCUGGGUUGUAAACUGCUUUGCCAGGGGAUAAAAUUCCUUGCGAGGAAAAUUGAAGGCACCUGGUGAAUAAGCCACGGCUAACUACGUGCCAGCAGCCGCGGUAAUACGUAGGUGGCAAGCGUUGUCCGGAUUUAUGGGUUUAAAGGGUGCGUAGGCGGCUUUGUAAGUCGGUGGUGAAAUAUCGCAGCUUAACUGUGAGGGUGCCAUUGAUACUGCAGAGCUUGAGUACAGAUGAGGUAGGCGGAAUUGACGGUGUAGCGGUGAAAUGCUUAGAUAUCGUCAAGAACACCUAUAGCGAAGGCAGCUUACUAGGCUGUAACUGACGCUGAGGCACGAAAGUGUGGGGAUCAAACAGGAUUAGAUACCCUGGUAGUCCACACUGUAAACGUUGAUUACUCGCUGUGUGCGAUAUACAGUACGCGGCCAAGCGAAAGCGAUAGGUAAUCCACCUGGGGAGUACGCCGGCAACGGUG
rnacentral:rRNA from 1 species